rnacentral:rRNA from 1 species
CCUACGGGGGGCUGCAGUGGGGAAUAUUGGACAAUGGGCGAAAGCCUGAUCCAGCCAUGCCGCGUGUGUGAAGAAGGCCUUCGGGUUGUAAAGCACUUUCAGUGGGGAAGAAAGCCUUGGGGCUAAUACCCUCGAGGAAGGACAUCACCCACAGAAGAAGCACCGGCUAACUCCGUGCCAGCAGCCGCGGUAAUACGGAGGGUGCGAGCGGUAAUCGGAAUUACUGGGCGUAAAGCGCGCGUAGGCGGUCUGAUAAGCCGGUUGUGAAAGCCCCGGGCUCAACCUGGGAACGGCAUCCGGAACUGUCAGGCUAGAGUGCAGGAGAGGAAGGUAGAAUUCCCGGUGUAGCGGUGAAAUGCGUAGAGAUCGGGAGGAAUACCAGUGGCGAAGGCGGCCUUCUGGACUGACACUGACGCUGAGGUGCGAAAGCGUGGGUAGCAAACAGGAUUAGAUACCCUAGUAGUC